rnacentral:rRNA from 1 species
GACCCGGACUAUGGCGGGAAGUGGCAGACUGCUCAGUAACACGUAGCUAACCUACCCUUGGGACGGGUACAACCCCGGGAAACUGAGGUUAAUACCCGAUAGGUGUGGAAUCCUGGAAUGGUACCACGCCCAAAUGUAAACGCAUCCAUGUUUGCGUACACGCCCGAGGAUGGGGCUGCGGCCGAUCAGGCAGUUGGUGAGGUAACGGCUCACCAAACCUUUGACCGGUACGGGCCAUGAGAGUGGUAGCCCGGAGAUGGGCACUGAGACAAGGGCCCAGGCCCUACGGGGCGCAGCAGGCGCGAAACCUCCACAAUUCACGCAAGUGAGAUGGGGUUACCUCGAGUGCCAUCUGAAGAAGGUGGCUUUUCCAUGGUGUAAUGAGCCGUGGGAAUAAGGGGGGGGCAAGACUGGUGUCAGCCGCCGCGGUAACACCAGCCCCCCGAGUGGUGGGGAUGAUUAUUUGGCCUAAAGCGUCCGUAGCCAGCUCGGUAAAUCUCUCGUUAAAUCCAGCGUCCUAAGCGUUGGGCUGCGAGGGGAACUGCCGAACUAGAGGGUGGGAGAGGUCAGCAGUAUUCCUGGGGUAGGGGCGAAAUCCAUUGAUCCCAGGAGGACCACCAGUGGCGAAGGCUGCGGACUAGAACACGCCUGACGGUGAGGGACGAAAGCUGGGGUAGCGAAUCGGAUUAGAUACCCGAGUAGUCCCAGCCGUAAACGAUGCAGGCUAGGUGUUGGGUCGGCCAUG